UCAUAGAAUUUCUUUAAAUUCAUGAUGUCGUAAGGGAAAAUAAUGAUAUUACCUUACUAUGAGUGUCGUCCAAAGCUGGUGCCAGAAGACUCGGUAAGACCAGAGACGCAAACGUUAAUCAUCUUAAACAGGCGUAAAGGGUUUGUAGGCAGCUUUCAUAAUAUUAUUUCUUCCAAAAAUAAAGAAGUGGUCUGAUUGAAAGCUAGAAUCAAAAAGAGGUUAUAGUGUAUAACGCCUAGAGGAGGGCUGAUAUCCUUAGAUCCUAGGCAGAAUACUUAGGGCGAAGGCCACUCUCCACUAAUGAUUGACGCUGAGAAACGAAGGUAAGGGUAGGAAAUAGGAUUAGAUACCCCGGUACUCCUUUCUGUAAACGAUGAAUGGUAGUCAUUAGUAAAAUUAAAAAUUACUAGAGACGAAGUUAACACAAUAACCAUUCCGCCUUGUGAGUACUACUGCAAAGUAGAAAACAAAAAAAUUAGUCGGUCUCGAAGCAAACGGAGUGAAGCAUGUUAUUUA
rnacentral:rRNA from 1 species